rnacentral:rRNA from 1 species
AACCUGGGGCUGAAGUCGGUCCCAAGGGUUGGGCUGUUCGCCCAUUAAAGCGGUACGCGAGCUGGGUUCAGAACGUCGUGAGACAGUUCGGUCCAUAUCCGGUGUACGCGCAGGAAUAUUGAGAGGAUUUCUCCCUAGUACGAGAGGACCGGGAGGAACGCACCUCUGGUGUACCAGUUAUCGUGCCAACGGUAAACGCUGGGUAGCCAUGUGCGGAGUGGAUAACCGCUGAAAGCAUCUAAGUGGGAAGCCCACCUCAAGAUGAGUAUUCCCAUGGCAUAAGCCAGUAAGGUCACGGGAAGAACACCCGUUGAUAGGCUCUACGUGGAAGCCUGGUAACAGGUGCAGCGGAGGAGUACUAAUAGACCGAGGGCUUGACCAU